CCUACGGGUGGCAGCAGUAGGGAAUUUUCGGCAAUGGGGGGAACCCUGACCGAGCAACGCCGCGUGAGCGAAGAAGUUAUUCGUAAUGUAAAGUUCUUUUAACAGGGAAGAAAGAGAAAUUUGACGGUACCUGAAGAAUAUGCUCCGGAUAACUACGUGCCAGCAGCCGCGGUAAUACGUGGGGAGCGAGCGUUAUCCGGAAUUAUUGGGGGGAAAGGGUGGGUAGAUGGCUUAGUAAGUCUGUGGUAAAAAGGCUGGGUGAAACCCAGUAGGGCAAAAGAUACUGCAAAGCUAGAGUAUGAGAGAGGCAAGUGGAAUGACCGGUGUAGCGGUAAAAUGCGUAAAGAUCUGGAAGAACACCAGUGGCGAAGGCGGCUUGCUGGGUCCAUACUGACGUUGAGGCACGAAAGCGUGGGGAGCGAACAGGAUUAGAUACCCGAGUAGUC
rnacentral:rRNA from 1 species